AGAGUUGAUAUGGCUCAGGAUGAACGCUAGCGGCAGGCUUAACACAUGCAAGUCGAGGGGCAGCGGGAUGUAGCAAUACAUUGCCGGCGACCGGCGGAUGGGUGCGUAACGCGUAUGCAACCUACCUUAUACAGGGGAAUAACCUUUCGAAAGGGAGACUAACACCCCAUAGUAUUGAUUUAAGGCAUCUUAGAUUAAUUAAAUAUUUAUAGGUAUAAGAUGGGCAUGCGUAUGAUUAGCUAGUUGGUAAGGUAACGGCUUACCAAGGCGACGAUCAUUAGGGGUUCUGAGAGGAAGGUCCCCCACACUGGUACUGAGACACGGACCAGACUCCUACGGGAGGCAGCAGUGAGGAAUAUUGGUCAAUGGGCGCAAGCCUGAACCAGCCAUGCCGCGUGCAAGGAAGACGGCCUUAUGGGUUGUAAACUGCUUUUACAUAAGACUAACCGUAUAUUUGCGAAUAUACCUGAAUGUAUUAUGAGAAUAAGGAUCGGCUAACUCCGUGCCAGCAGCAGC
rnacentral:rRNA from 1 species